UAACUAUUUAUAUAAAGCGUCCCCGUUUGCCGCCUCCAAAGGCGUCUCGCCCAUUCCCAAGACUUGAGAUAUCAAAAAAAUCCCCAAAAUGGAAUUUUCUCUUGGAUCCAUUAUUAGAAGCGGGAUCUCGCACCGAUGCUCGUGUGCCGUGUCGAUUCCCGCUAUUGAGUCGAUGGGGUGUUCUGGAUCCUCGGGGAACUACUUCAACCCUGACGGUCGGGGAGCUAUUGAUAGCUGAUGAGUGUGGCUGGUGGGAAGAGUCGGUUUGCAAGGAUGUGGUAGUCGCUGGCACAUGCUCAGAUGUUUGCAUAUCAACAUCGGACUGUUGAGGGACGGGGAACUGAGGUCCAGUGGUGAAUGUGAAAGUGGUUGAUCUGCAUGGCGUAACAUAUGUAUCUGACGAUGCUGCAGUGGUAGAUGAUGGUGGGUGAGUGUUUGUUUCUUGCCGUGGAGGAGAGGUG
rnacentral:sRNA from 1 species